GAAUACAGUGGAAUCAAGCACCAAGGCCUAGGCAAAUGCAGCUCCAGAUUAGGUCUAUUGAGACAAAAAAGUGAAUUACAAUUAGGAUAGAGAGAGCAUGUUUGUGGAGAAACCAAUAUAUGACUCUGUGUGUGAGCUCACACUUAACAAAGAAUUCAAAUCAUAGAAGAAACCUAUGUGUUCUAUGUCACAGAGGGUCUGCUCUGCUUUUGCUUCUCAUUUAGCUGCUGCCAUGGCCAGCCCUGUCCCUGCAUCUCAUAUUUGCCAGACUGGAAGAUUUAUGUGUUCUUUAAAUGUGUACAAGAAACAGACUGAUCAGAAGGAGGCAGCUUGACAUCCAGUGCUCCAUCUGCACCAGUCGAUAGCAUAAGCUGGGUGCCCCAGGACCACACGGCCAGAAAUCUAUUGCAGUUUCCAGGUAAUUCUACUAGGGAAUUCACCCAGUUGACUUAUUGGACUAAGUAUUUAUCAACAGGGUAUUCUCACUUAAUUCCUUCUUUUCUUUGACUACAUGUAAAUUAGAAAUCUUUCCUUAAUUUUCAUUUUUCAUUCUGGAAAUAUAUACAUCAAGAUGUGUGGAAUACCUUUAAACUUUUCUCUCCAGUAGUGAGAGAAUAUCCAUCUUCCACUAGUCCUGAGAUACAAAAACAUACCUAUUUUUCUUAUAUGAUGUGUUCAGCAGCAAAACAAACUGUAAAGAGAGAACAAAGAAGCAGAACAGAUCAUUUUCCAGUCUCCCGCUCCCCCUCCUUUUCCUCCCUCACAAGCACAGGGCUCACAGCCAUGCUCUCAAACUGUCUAUCUUCUAGCUUUGGUUUACUGCAUAAAGAAUAUUUUAGCUGAAGAAAUGGAAAAAAUAAGUUGCAUAAUGACCUAGACACUAAGGGUUGCAACCAUAUGCAAUAAGUAAAAAGGAAAUCUAAUCCAAUCAGGAACUGCUUUAGGAAUGUCCUAUCCACCACUAAGUAGGUCAAACAAUAUGGUUGCAUUAGUUCCUUCAGAGUUAUAUGUUGUUGAACUAGGAAUUUGUUAUGAGUUACACCUUCCAUCUGUGUAGGCUUGUUCACUAAUGGCCAUUUACUAGUGUUUUUCCAGAAAGGAGGCUUCCUCCUCCUCCUUUGAGGUGGACUGUUGCAGGAAGGAAAUUUAGCAUUAAAGGAACUAUGUUUGAGAACUGAACAAUUUAAUUUUAUUUCAGUUCACCAUCAGUUCUAUAUCCUGUUCACUGAACUACAUAAUUCUCCUCUUUUUCUGUACACCAUUUAAGUAUUUAUAAAUUGUCAUGAUGCUUUUGUAGAGUGUUGGCUGUCAUGGAGCCAAGAUGUACAAGUUCAGUUUGCCGCUUUCUCUCUUCCACUUUGAAGCUAUUUUUAUUGCACUUGUUGUGUACUCUUCAACUUGUCAAGAUAUUCAGGACACUGACUCACACAGACCUGAACAUACUAUAUUGUGUCCAGCUAGAUCCUCAACCCUAUGGAACUCUUCUUCUGCUCUGUGUUAUUUCCUCAUACAUACCAGGUAAUUUUCAGGUCCUGGCAACAAUUUUCAUUGGACCUGGCUGUAUGUCACAAGGAAUUCCAUCUUGAACCAAUAUUCCCAUUCUCAUAGACCAAAACCAAAAUACUUGCAUUAAAUGUUGUGGCUCGAGGCUAUGUAUAAGGAACUCCUAAAAUCUGGCAUUUAAAAGUGCUCUGCAGGUGAACGCAUUUAGAAUAAUUGUCUUUUUUUUUUUUUUUUUAUCCAUUAAAUGGAUGAGAAUAUUGCAAUAUCGCUUUCAAAAUAUACCAGAUCCACGUAAAACCUGAGAGAAUGAUAGGAUUUCAUAUUCCGCCACUGCAAAUUUUAACUAUGAUUCAGCACUUCACACUUCCAUUAAAUUUCCACCCCGUAAAGUCCCUAUAUUUCUAUGGUCUUAUUAGUAUCAGUACACCAGCUCAAUAUAGCA